rnacentral:rRNA from 1 species
CAGCCGCCACGGGAAUACAGAGGGUGCAAGCGUUAUUCGGAAUUACUGGGCGUAAAGCGCGCGUAGGUGGUUUGUUAAGUUGGAUGUGAAAUCCCCGGGCUCAACCUGGGAACUGCAUCCAAAACUGGCAAGCUAGAGUAUGGUAGAGGGUGGUGGAAUUUCCUGUGUAGCGGUGAAAUGCGUAGAUAUAGGAAGGAACACCAGUGGCGAAGGCGACCACCUGGACUGAUACUGACACUGAGGUGCGAAAGCGUGGGGAGCAAACAGGAUUAGAUACCCCUGUAGUCCCUGUCUCUUAUAC